rnacentral:lncRNA from 1 species
AAAGAAAAUCAAAUUCAUAGAUCUCACUCUUUUUUUUUAUAAAAAAAGAUAUUCCACUUUAAUCUAAUCUAAAUUACGCAGAAAGUGAUGCGAAUUUGGGUGCAGAAGCACAUCUGCUUUAGCCAACCCUCUCUCGUACAUUUAUUUAAUUUAUGCAAAAAUAAUUUAUUAAAAUUAUAAAAUAAAUAUUUCUGCAUAAAAUAUCAGAUCAUCAAAAGUUGAUGAAACAAAAUGCACAGGAAGAUGAUGGAUUACCAGAAUAUUAUAAAUUAGUCGCUGUCGCUGCUGCUGCUGUCAUGGCCAUCCUUCUUCUUGUCCUUCUUCUUCUUCUUCUUCUUGUCGUCUUUGUCUUUCUCUUUGUGAUCGCCGUCUUUCUUGUGGUGUUCGUCUUUCUUGUCCUUGUGGUGUUCGUCUUUCUUGUCCUUGUGGUGCUCACCUUCCUUCUUGUGCUCCUCGUCUUUCUUGUGCUCGUUACCUCCUCCUCCUAUGUGGAGGGCGUCUCCAAUCUUG